AAAAUAGAAUAGAUUUGACUUCGAAUCAAAUACAGAUAAUUAAUCCUAUUUUA
rnacentral:tRNA from 1 species